rnacentral:tRNA from 1 species
GGUCUUAUAUUUUAAGGAAAAUAUUAAAUUGCAAGUUUAAAGAUGUUUGGCUAAGACUU